CCUACGGGUGACAGCAGUCGAGAAUCAUUCACAAUGGGGGAAACCCUGAUGGUGCGACGCCGCGUGGGGGAAUGAAGGUCUUCGGAUUGUAAACCCCUGUCAUGUGGGAGCAAAUUAAAAAGAUAGUACCACAAGAGGAAGAGACGGCUAACUCUGUGCCAGCAGCCGCGGUAAUACAGAGGUCUCAAGCGUUGUUCGGAAUCACUGGGCGUAAGGCGUGCGUAGGCUGUUUCGUAAGUCGUGUGUGAAAGGCGCGGGCUCAACCCGCGGACGGCACAUGAUACUGCGAGACUAGAGUAAUGGAGGGGGAACCGGAAUGCUCGGUGUAGCAGUGAAAUGCGUAGAUAUCGAGAGGAACACUCGUGGCGAAGGCGGGUUCCUGGACAUUAACUGACGCUGAGGCACGAAGGCCAGGGGAGCGAAAGGGAUUAGAUACCCCAGUAGUC
rnacentral:rRNA from 1 species